GCUGGAGCGGACUGCAGUCCACGGCCAUCUUCAAGGCUCAGCAGGCUUCGAGACCUUCUUGAAGGUUUAUCUCGGAGGAAGGAGAGCUGAUGCAACGAAGACAAAGAAAAGAGUGACUCAUCACAGUCAUAUUUCAUCAUUUACUGCUGGUGAUUGUGUGUCUAUUUUAAAUCUGCGUGUAAAUGUGUGUGUCUGGGAGGGAACAAAAAGGAAAUCAAUCGUUGAUAGCAUCGCAGACAGGAAGCUGUCUCCAGAGGAAGGAGAUCAUGUCAGAGAAAGCUCGGCCUCUUCCAUGUUGCUGCCCUGGAACCACAGAGGUCAUGUGAGUUCAUCUGUGAUUUACUGUGUGUUAUUCAAUGGGCUCUUUUAAUCAAUCGUUCAAGUAAGAAAACAUGCUGAUUUUACUCUGUUGAUCACAAACUAACUUCUAUUUUUGAGUCAUGCAACAGGAAAUGAGCCUGAUCUCUACAUUCACCUGAAGCUGCUGCUCUUUGACUGUAAAAACUGCUAAAAUCCGUUUUUAAUUCAAGGCGCCAACGGACAAGAGAGUCCUGAAGUCCCAGCUCUCUACCUGCUCGUGCUCACAAGUUGAGACCGUACAUAAUGACAUCUGUGGUGUUUUUUUUUUUUUUCCAUGAUGAAUAUUUUCUUUGAAGCUGUAUCAGAUCUGGCUUCGACCCCAGAAGACGUUGACAGCUGCAGGGAACUGUUGGGACGGAGGAGAGAGUUUGAGCUGAUGAACGAUGAGCAUGACAGCAGGGAGGACGAAGCAAAAGUUAUGUGGAGGAAGGACUGUUGGAAAUGAUGAAUCCACGUCAUAAAAGUGACGAGGAGGAGAUUGCUAUGCCAAGAGGGGGAUAAGAAAACGAAAACUACAGUCAGGCUUCAGGAAAGCAAAGUGUAAAACUAUCCUCUAGGCAAAUUCAUCACCAUUUGUCUUUGGAUUUGAUUUACUUUCUUUUUCUACCGCUUUAGAAACAUUUAAAUCUGUUUUAUUUACACGAUUCACUGUCAAAUGUCCUGAGGAUACAUGUGGGAGAUGCUGCUGCUAGUUGUGUGUCUCUCUGUGUGUGUGUGUGUUUGUUUAGCUGAGGUAGGAUUAAGAAAUAGUCAUGUUGUUUUAUUUUGUGCUACUUACAUGUUUCUUUUUCUGCUUUGAUUGAGAAUUUUAAGUGUCCCCCUCUUAAAAUAUCCCGUAUCAAACUGCAGUGUCACAGGACAGUCCACAGCUGGGAGACACAGCGUGACUGGGGAUUUGUGGUAAAGGUAAAGUCUGAGUUUCAGGGUGUCCUUGGUGCUCUGGGAUGUGACGGUGGUAAAGAAGAAGCUCGUGUGAAAUUCAUGUCAAACAACGUGAGGGAGGGGGAGACAAUGAGCUCGUCCUCCGGUCAGGAGGUGGAGGGUGGAGGGAUUUGACUCGAGGGGUGUGAGAGGGUGAGCGCAAGACGUAAUGGUAUGGAAAAGACGAUGAGGGUGGAGUGGGUAGAUAUGGGUGUGUGUCUGAGAGAGAGAGAAAGAGAGAGAGGCAGAGGCUUGUUAGUAUAAAAGCUCCCUCUCUCACGCAUGCUCCCACAUCUCCUGUGCAUAUUUUGGAGGUGGGGGGCAUAAUUGUGAGUGUGAGUGAGUGUGUGUGUGUGUGUGUACACCUUUGCAGUACAG
rnacentral:lncRNA from 1 species